rnacentral:miRNA from 1 species
GUUACAUUUAAUAGUUUUGUUUGUGGAAACACCACGUAAAUUUAUUACUGCAGUAAUAAAUUUACGUGGUGUUUCCACAAACAAAACUGUUAUAUUUUAUCACCAUGCAA